CCAUCGGUGAUUAAGUGGUAGAAUGCUCGCCUGCCACGCGGGCGGCCCGGGUUCGAUUCCCGGCCGAUGCA